rnacentral:rRNA from 1 species
GACGAACGCUGGCGGCGUGCUUAACACAUGCCAGUCGAACGGAAAGGCCCUGCUUUUGUGGGGUGCUCGAGUGGCGAACGGGUGAGUAACACGUGAGUAACCUGCCCUUGACUUUGGGAUAACUUCAGGAAACUGGGGCUAAUACCGGAUAGGAGCUCCUGCUGCAUGGUGGGGGUUGGAAAGUUUCGGCGGUUGGGGAUGGACUCGCGGCUUAUCAGCUUGUUGGUGGGGUAGUGGCUUACCAAGGCUUUGACGGGUAGCCGGCCUGAGAGGGUGACCGGCCACAUUGGGACUGAGAUACGGCCCAGACUCCUACGGGAGGCAGCAGUGGGGAAUAUUGCACAAUGGGCGGAAGCCUGAUGCAGCAACGCCGCGUGCGGGAUGACGGCCUUCGGGUUGUAAACCGCUUUCGCCUGUGACGAAGCGUGAGUGAAGGUAAUGGGUAAAGAAGCACCGGCUAACUACGUG